AAUAAUAUCGACAUUCUAUUCGAUUUAAUAUAUUUUCUUGUUUAAAAUUUGAGUUGUUCUGUGGUGUAAGCCUUCCCCUGACAUCCGGAAAUAAAGACGGUUUUUGGGGUAUUAAGAAGGAUUUUUCAAUUCCGACUUUCGGGUCGCAAAUAACAAUAAAUUAUUAUUUAAUUAAUGACAUAACUAUCGAGUGGGAAGUUCAAAGUAAGAUACCAGAUACAAUUUGUAAUUAUUUACUACCC